UAUCAUGUUGAAACACUGGUUCUCCUAUGAUCACUAAAGUUAAGCAAUGUUGAACCUGGUCAGUAUCUAGAUGUGUGACCCAUUGGGAAUAUCAAGUGCUGUAAG